UGGGGAAUAUUGCACAAUGGGCGCAAGCCUGAUGCAGCCAUGCCGCGUGUGUGAAGAAGGCCUUCGGGUUGUAAAGCACUUUCAGCGGGGAGGAAGGCGAUAAGGUUAAUAACCUUGUCGAUUGACGUUACCCGCAGAAGUAGCACCGGCUAACUCCGUGCCAGCAGCCGCGGUAAUACGGAGGGUGCAAGCGUUAAUCGGAAUUACUGGGCGUAAAGCGCACGCAGGCGGUCUGUCAAGUCGGAUGUGAAAUCCCCGGGCUUAACCUGGGAACUGCAUUCGAAACUGGCAGGCUAGAGUCUUGUAGAGGGGGGUAGAAUUCCAGGUGUAGCGGUGAAAUGCGUAGAGAUCUGGAGGAAUACCGGUGGCGAAGGCGGCCCCCUGGACAAAGACUGACGCUCAGGUGCGAAAGCGUGGGGAGCAAACAGG
rnacentral:rRNA from 1 species